GCUGAUCUGCCCCCAAAUUACUGCCUGUCAUAACAAAAUUUCACAUUUCUUGCAGGAAGAAAAAUAUUCAGACUUUCAAGAGUGGAGGAUUUCAAAUAUCCAGGAUACAAUUUUUAAAUUACUGGAUCUUUAUCUUAAGAAAAUAAGCCAAAAGAUAUCACUUUGUAACUCUGCUUAUGCUCCUCCAACACUCUUCAAGUCCUGAGCCUGUUUGACCACCACUAAUGUGUCCUUCUAGUUUCCCAUCUUUUCUCUGUUUUCCUUGCAUAUGAUGUGAAGCUUCAUGAAAGGUGGAUGGGCAUGGGAGUCAAUAGGAACAGACCCUGAGAUAACCUGGAAUUAGCAAGACUUCAGGACUGAAUUCUUCAGGAGGGAAGAGAAGGGAAGAGGAAGAGCUGACAAAGGGAUUAUAGUAGCUCCACCUGUCUGGUGGAUCCAGGUCAGGCAGAGUGGUGGCCUGAAAUAUAGUGCGGUAAGAAGCACCAAGGGCAGGCAUGAACGCUGGCUAGGAAGCAGUGAACAUCGAGCCAUGGAAACUCAACUCUGCUAUGUCCCACAGGAUAAUAGCAAGUUUAUAUACUAUUGAAGAGGCAGGCAGGAGUUCAUGUAGUUCAUGAAAAGGCAGCAUGCAUUCGCAACUCAGAACUUGUCCUGUGAAGGAAGAAAACAACACCCCUUAGACCAAAGAAUUAAGAGAUGACUUAUAUUUGAAAAACCACCCACGGCUGCACAUUGAUGUGUAAGUUGCAUU
rnacentral:lncRNA from 1 species